CGAUUUACCUUCAAUUCGACGUCGAUUAUCGUCGACGCAAACAGUUUGACAGUUCUCUUCAGUUGAUCUUGUUCGGACUUGAUCAAAUCAGAAAAACAAUAUUGUUGUAAAGGUUCGUGAGGAUUUUGGCUGGUUGAUUGAUUUCCUGAUUUCAGCCUUCGCGACGGUGGAAGAGAACGUGAAACAUCGUUAACCCGGCGGAUCAUGCCGGAAGAUGGGACGGGAAGGAACCGGUCUGCGAUCGAAAGCGGAUUGGGAUCUGUAUCAAACAGUCUCCAAACAGGACAAUGAAAGUGUUGGUGGUGUUUGAUUUUUAGAGAAUGUCAAAAUCGCCAUUAUCAAUACUAAGACCUG